GGGAAACCCUUUUCAUCUUCAAAAAUCAGCAAUUAAGGGGAGGAAUUGAAGCUAAUUAUCUGCAUGUUCAUCUUUCUCUAAUCAUCUUAGCAUUCUAAACAUGAGGCAUAAGGAUCAUGUGGAAAUGGACUCAAGCAAGAAAGGCAAAAGGGUAAAAAGGAGGCAAGGGAACGGACGCAAAAAGGUUGUACGAAUCACGGGCGGUUAUCACGAGGAAUAGAGAUCAAAGACCGAGUCACAAGAUAGAUUAUACGGGAAUAAUUGAGUA